rnacentral:rRNA from 1 species
UAAUACAUCAGAACGUGUCCUUAAGUGGGGAAUAACGCAUCGAAAGAUGUGCUAAUACCGCAUAUCUCUGAGGAGAAAAGCAGGGGAUCGCAAGACCUUGCGCUAAAGGAGCGGCCGAUGUCUGAUUAGCUAUUUGGUGGGGUAAAGGCUUACCAAGGCAACGAUCAGUAUUUGGUCUGAAAGGACGGCCAACCACACUGGGACUGAGACACGGCCCAGACUCCUACGGGAGGCAGCAGUGGGGAAUUUUGGACAAUGGGCGAAAGCCUGAUCCAGCCAUGCCGCGUGAGUGAAGAAGGCCUUCGGGUUGUAAAGCUCUUUUAGUCGGAAAGAAAGAGUUGCAAUGAAUAAUUGUGAUUUAUGACGGUACCGACAGAAAAAGCACCGGCUAACUACGUGCCAGCAGCCGCGGUAAUACGUAGGGUGCGAGCGUUAAUCGGAAUUACUGGGCGUAAAGGGUGCGCAGGCGGUCUUGCAAGUCAGAUGUGAAAGCCCCGGGCUUAACCUGGGAAUUGCGUUUGAAACUACAAGGCUAGAGUGCAGCA